GACUUGACGGUGUCCCACCCGCACUAGAGGAGCCUGUCCCAUAAUCGAUGCCCCACGCUUUACCUCACCCCCCCUUGCCAAUCCAACCUAUAUACCGCCGUCGCCAGUCCACGCUGUGAAUACACCGCCGUGGGCACCCCCAUUUAAUCAUGGAUACGACAGGUCAAGGUGUAGUUUAUGGGGGGGGCUAAGAUGAGCUACAUUUUCUAUAUUAGAAAAUCACCGCCCGCAGCAUGAAAACACUGCUUAAAGGUGGAUUUAGAAGUAAACUUGACAAGAUAUGUCAACUUGAAUAAGCCCU
rnacentral:rRNA from 1 species